CAAACUUGGAAAUCAUGUCUUAGAGAUCAAGGAGCCAAGAGAUGAGACAAGCCUGGGUUCCUGGGUGUGGCUGUGUCCCCACCCAAAUCUCAUCUUGAAUUGCAGCUCCCAUAAUCCCCACAUGUUGUGGAGGGACCCUGUGGGAGGUAAUUGAAUUAUGGAGGAAGGCCUGAGGAGAGAAGACACAUAGUCAUGCUGACUAAACCAGAUCACCUAGAAUUACCAAAUGGAAAGAUUGUGCCUGCAGCCUGGCCUGUUGCCCACAGCGGUCUACCUGCCACACUGGGAAAGAUCGAGCAGAGACAGAGAAGAAAAGGAGGCUCCAUUUUUCAGGCUGCUCUCCCGCAGGCUCAUGUUUUGUGUUCAUGCCAGGCAGAGAACACAAAAUGUUCCAAUAAAUAAGUAUCAGAGGUUAGUGGUGAAAAUGAAGGAGGAGGAGGCAUUGCGUGAAAAACUAAACAUGCAAAAUAUUACACACAAAGAAAACCAAAAUGCAGGUUCACUGGAAAUGAUAGACAAUAUGUUAAAACAAGAGGAGAGAAGAGAGCUGAAAUAAUCAAAUGGAAACACACAAUUUAGGGCUAAGAUCUUGUUGUGUUCAGCCACAAAUGAUGGCCAGCAGUGAGGAAUCUGUGUGUUCUCCACACUCUUCGCUCCUGGGAAGUCAACUCACAUGGACCAUGAUAUCAAUAUCUGCUCCUUCCCCUAAUAUCUGUUUGACCUUGGGUCAGUUACUUAAACUUCCUAAGCCUUAGUUUCUUUGUCUGGAAAAUAGGGAUAGUUAUA
rnacentral:lncRNA from 1 species